AAAAUACGAUAAGUAGUAUAAAUUAUAGAAUUUAGUAAAUUAUUAAAUUUUUAAACGUAUAUUACGUCCUUUAGUAUUCUGUAGGGUAUACCUGUUUGAGUGUUAUCUAUACCCUUAAGCUCUACUUAGUGUUGGGCGUCUAUUCUAUCUUUACGCGUAGACUUGCCCUAAAUAUAUUAGUAGUGGUUUUUACCCUCUCCCGUGUAGUAUAUUACGCUUCUCAAGGCUGUGGUGGCCUGUGUCUAAUAAGCUAAACCCCUUUAUCUUUAACCUUAAAUUAGGUAGGGAUACCUGCUAAACUUAAGC
rnacentral:misc_RNA from 1 species